GGGUUGUGAGGUUAAGCGACUAAGCGUACACGGUGGAUGCCCUGGCAGUCAGAGGCGAUGAAGGACGUGCUAAUCUGCGAUAAGCGUCGGUAAGGUGAUAUGAACCGUUAUAACCGGCGAUUUCCGAAUGGGGAAACCCAGUGUGAUUCGUCACACUAUCAUUAACUGAAUCCAUAGGUUAAUGAGGCGAACCGGGGGAACUGAAACAUCUAAGUACCCCGAGGAAAAGAAAUCAACCGAGAUUCCCCCAGUAGCGGCGAGCGAACGGGGAGCAGCCCAGAGCCUGAAUCAGUGUGUGUGUUAGUGGAAGCGUCUGGAAAGGCGCGCGAUACAGGGUGACAGCCCCGUACACAAAAAUGCACAUACUGUGAGCUCGAUGAGUAGGGCGGGACACGUGGUAUCCUGUCUGAAUAUGGGGGGACCAUCCUCCAAGGCUAAAUACUCCUGACUGACCGAUAGUGAACCAGUACCGUGAGGGAAAGGCGAAAAGAACCCCGGCGAGGGGAGUGAAAAAGAACCUGAAACCGUGUACGUACAAGCAGUGGGAGCACGCUUAGGCGUGUGACUGCGUACCUUUUGUAUAAUGGGUCAGCGACUUAUAUUCUGUAGCAAGGUUAACCGAAUAGGGGAGCCGAAGGGAAACCGAGUCUUAACUGGGCGUUAAGUUGCAGGGUAUAGACCCGAAACCCGGUGAUCUAGCCAUGGGCAGGUUGAAGGUUGGGUAACACUAACUGGAGGACCGAACCGACUAAUGUUGAAAAAUUAGCGGAUGACUUGUGGCUGGGGGUGAAAGGCCAAUCAAACCGGGAGAUAGCUGGUUCUCCCCGAAAGCUAUUUAGGUAGCGCCUCGUGAAUUCAUCUCCGGGGGUAGAGCACUGUUUCGGCAAGGGGGUCAUCCCGACUUACCAACCCGAUGCAAACUGCGAAUACCGGAGAAUGUUAUCACGGGAGACACACGGCGGGUGCUAACGUCCGUCGUGAAGAGGGAAACAACCCAGACCGCCAGCUAAGGUCCCAAAGUCAUGGUUAAGUGGGAAACGAUGUGGGAAGGCCCAGACAGCCAGGAUGUUGGCUUAGAAGCAGCCAUCAUUUAAAGAAAGCGUAAUAGCUCACUGGUCGAGUCGGCCUGCGCGGAAGAUGUAACGGGGCUAAACCAUGCACCGAAGCUGCGGCAGCGACGCUGAUGCGUUGUUGGGUAGGGGAGCGUUCUGUAAGCCUGUGAAGGUGUGCUGUGAGGCAUGCUGGAGGUAUCAGAAGUGCGAAUGCUGACAUAAGUAACGAUAAAGCGGGUGAAAAGCCCGCUCGCCGGAAGACCAAGGGUUCCUGUCCAACGUUAAUCGGGGCAGGGUGAGUCGACCCCUAAGGCGAGGCCGAAAGGCGUAGUCGAUGGGAAACAGGUUAAUAUUCCUGUACUUGGUGUUACUGCGAAGGGGGGACGGAGAAGGCUAUGUUGGCCGGGCGACGGUUGUCCCGGUUUAAGCGUGUAGGCUGGUUUUCCAGGCAAAUCCGGAAAAUCAAGGCUGAGGCGUGAUGACGAGGCACUACGGUGCUGAAGCAACAAAUGCCCUGCUUCCAGGAAAAGCCUCUAAGCAUCAGGUAACAUCAAAUCGUACCCCAAACCGACACAGGUGGUCAGGUAGAGAAUACCAAGGCGCUUGAGAGAACUCGGGUGAAGGAACUAGGCAAAAUGGUGCCGUAACUUCGGGAGAAGGCACGCUGAUAUGUAGGUGAAGUCCCUCGCGGAUGGAGCUGAAAUCAGUCGAAGAUACCAGCUGGCUGCAACUGUUUAUUAAAAACACAGCACUGUGCAAACACGAAAGUGGACGUAUACGGUGUGACGCCUGCCCGGUGCCGGAAGGUUAAUUGAUGGGGUCAGCGCAAGCGAAGCUCUUGAUCGAAGCCCCGGUAAACGGCGGCCGUAACUAUAACGGUCCUAAGGUAGCGAAAUUCCUUGUCGGGUAAGUUCCGACCUGCACGAAUGGCGUAAUGAUGGCCAGGCUGUCUCCACCCGAGACUCAGUGAAAUUGAACUCGCUGUGAAGAUGCAGUGUACCCGCGGCAAGACGGAAAGACCCCGUGAACCUUUACUAUAGCUUGACACUGAACAUUGAGCCUUGAUGUGUAGGAUAGGUGGGAGGCUUUGAAGUGUGGACGCCAGUCUGCAUGGAGCCGGCCUUGAAAUACCACCCUUUAAUGUUUGAUGUUCUAACGUUGACCCGUGAUCCGGGUUGCGGACAGUGUCUGGUGGGUAGUUUGACUGGGGCGGUCUCCUCCUAAAGAGUAACGGAGGAGCACGAAGGUUGGCUAAUCCUGGUCGGACAUCAGGAGGUUAGUGCAAUGGCAUAAGCCAGCUUGACUGCGAGCGUGACGGCGCGAGCAGGUGCGAAAGCAGGUCAUAGUGAUCCGGUGGUUCUGAAUGGAAGGGCCAUCGCUCAACGGAUAAAAGGUACUCCGGGGAUAACAGGCUGAUACCGCCCAAGAGUUCAUAUCGACGGCGGUGUUUGGCACCUCGAUGUCGGCUCAUCACAUCCUGGGGCUGAAGUAGGUCCCAAGGGUAUGGCUGUUCGCCAUUUAAAGUGGUACGCGAGCUGGGUUUAGAACGUCGUGAGACAGUUCGGUCCCUAUCUGCCGUGGGCGCUGGAGAACUGAGGGGGGCUGCUCCUAGUACGAGAGGACCGGAGUGGACGCAUCACUGGUGUUCGGGUUGUCAUGCCAAUGGCACUGCCCGGUAGCUAAAUGCGGAAGAGAUAAGUGCUGAAAGCAUCUAAGCACGAAACUUGCCCCGAGAUGAGUUCUCCCUGACUCCUUGAGAGUCCUGAAGGAACGUUGAAGACGACGACGUUGAUAGGCCGGGUGUGUAAGCGCAGCGAUGCGUUGAGCUAACCGGUACUAAUGAACCGUGAGGCUUAACCUUACAACGCCGAAG
rnacentral:rRNA from 1 species